GAUGAACGCUGACAGAAUGCUUAACACAUGCAAGUCUACUUGAACUUCGGUUUGGGUGGCGGACGGGUGAGUAACGCGUAAAGAGCUUGCCUCACAGUUAGGGACAACAUUUGGAAACGAAUGCUAAUACCUGAUAUUAUGAUUUUAGGGCAUCCUAGGAUUAUGAAAGCUAUAUGUGCUGUGAGAGAGCUUUGCGUCCCACUAGCUAGUUGGAGAGGUAACGGCUCACCAAGGCGAUGAUGGGUAGCCGGCCUGAGAGGGUGAACGGCCACAAGGGGACUGAGACACGGCCCUUACUCCUACGGGAGGCAGCAGUGGGGAAUAUUGGACAAUGGACCAAAAGUCUGAUCCAGCAAUUCUGUGUGCACGAUGACGUUUUUCGGAAUGUAAAGUGCUUUCAGUUGGGAAGAAAAAAAUGACGGUACCAACAGAAGAAGUGACGGCUAAAUACGUG
rnacentral:rRNA from 1 species